rnacentral:rRNA from 1 species
UACGUAGGUCCCGAGCGUUGUCCGGAUUUAUUGGGCGUAAAGCGAGCGCAGGUGGUUUAUUAAGUCUGGUGUAAAAGGCAGUGGCUCAACCAUUGUAUGCAUUGGAAGCUGGUAGACUUGAGUGCAGGAGAGGAGAGUGGAAUUCCAUGUGUAGCGGUGAAAUGCGUAGAUAUAUGGAGGAACACCGGUGGCGAAAGCGGCUCUCUGGUCUGUAACUGACGCUGAGGUUCGAAAGCGUGGGUAGCAAACAGG